AUUUGUAUUUUGUAGCACAUGAGCAUGGUGGGAGCUAAGCUCAUGGGCAUCUUUUGCUUGGAGAGGAAAGCAAGCAACAGGCAAAAGGGCAGUUGGCUCAUCGCAUGCGCUCUAAUAAGCCAAUCUUUGUUGCUAUUUGAUCAGGCUUUUCAGGAAGUUUCUUUGAAGAUUGUUGGUCGGAUUCCAGUCCAUGCCUUCCAAAGCUACUUUCUUUAUUUUUGGUAGUUAACUUAAAAUUGCUUACUUCCUGGUGAAAAAGUACGUUUCACGUACGAUGGAUA
rnacentral:misc_RNA from 1 species